GACGAACGCUGGCGGCGUGCUUAACACAUGCAAGUCGAACGGAAAGGCCCUGCUUUUGUGGGGUGCUCGAGUGGCGAACGGGUGAGUAACACGUGAGUAACCUGCCCUUGACUUUGGGAUAACUUCAGGAAACUGGGGCUAAUACCGGAUAGGAGAUCCUGCUGCAUGGGGGGGGUUGGAAAGUUUCGGCUGUUGGGGAUGGACUCGCGGCUUAUCAGCUUGUUGGUGGGGUAGGGGCUGACCAAGCUUUUGACGGGUAGCCGGCCUGAGAGGGUGACCGGCGACAAUACGACUGAGAGACGGCGCAGAAUCGUACGGGAGGCAGCGGUGGGGAGUAUUGCACAAUGGGCGGAAGCGUGAUGCGGCAACGCUGCGUUCGGGAUGACGUCCUACGGGGUGUAAACCGCUUUCGCCUGUGACGUAGCGGGCGUGACGGUAAUGGGUAAAGAAGCACCGGCUAACUACGUG
rnacentral:rRNA from 1 species